GCUCUGUUUUAGCAUACCCCGUUGUUGUAGUGCCUUCCCUGGGCUUUGGGUGGGAGCCCGUCUAUCCGUUCUGGGGGGGGUCUUUGCAGUUUGUAAACUCCUUCUGUGCAGCGGAUGCUACUGCUUGCAUAUUUAUACAGCACCUAGUAUCACCCGGUUGAAGCGCUGUCAUAUAUCUGCUAAAUAAUACCAGCCACAACAGUUGUAAUCUGGUAUUUUCCAAGCUGAACCUGCAGUUACAUUUUUCAGCAGUUCAGUCACUUGUUGCACAGACAGAAAGAAAAUUAACCACAAGCACUGAUCUCUCUCUCUAUUAACCUCAGGGCUUCCAGCUUCGCUCCUCCCUGCUUCUAAAUCACUGUUUAUUGCUAUUUUUACAAGAGAAGAUUAAUGGACUUAAAUGGGCACAGUCCUAAGAGGAAAAUCGCACAACGCAAUGGCUAACAUUGCAUGAAGCAGAUGGGCUCACCUUGCGGCAGGUCGAGACGGAUGGACGGCAAGAAACAGCAGGUGGAGAAGCCCAACGGCAGAAGAUAUCCGAGUAUCUCGCACACUCGCGGACAAGUAUUUUGAUUGUUCAGCCCUGGUUUUACAUUUAAUAGCCUUGCUACCUUCUCCCCACAGCGAUCACAUUCUGCUCCCACAUGUGGAACAGUUUACGUUUCUCUUUUGCAUAGAGGUGGAAGGCAGUCGGGCUCAGUUUUCGCGGUGGGCUUUGUCUGAAGCCCGUCAGGAGCCCGGUCUCACCACCAUGAGCAUCGCACGACAGGGAAGGCAUCGCAGGGAAAGGGCUGGGAUGCAGCGGCGCUGCCUGAAAACAAGAUUUCUGCCUCUUCCCCAGCUAUUCUCUAGCAUGGUGGCACCAAACAGUCAUUAACAACCGGCGCAAUUUUAGAGCGACGUGUAUUUACACAUAAGGACAAGGACUCAUUAUCGUCGACAUCUACAUAUUGUUGUUUUACAUAACAGCUGCAGUAGAGCAAGUGCACUUUGGUCAAUAGUUUCAUUUAUAAUAAAGUAAUAAAUUAGGAAUAUUUUUCCCUUGACAAUAAGUUUUAUGCCAAGAUUUUAUGUAGCUUAAAGCAAGUUGUCAAUUAGGCUACUUAAAUUAAUUUUUGGCAGCAGUUAAUUGGAGCCUAGAGUCUUUUGUCUUUAAACAGCUAAUCCUAAACAAGAAAAUACAAUGAUUAAAUGUUUCUUAAACAAUAUUAUUCACAGAAUUUAAAAUAUAGCAUUUAAUUAAGAUUUGGACUUGUUAAUCUUUUUUUUAUUUUUUUUUUUAGAGAGAUUAAUUUAAAUUUCUUCAAAUAAAAUUGCUACCAUGACUCUGAUUAAACUGGCUUACCGCAAGACUAAGGUCUGAGACCUUCCAACACUCCUACAGCUCUUAUACCCAAAGGCAAAUUAUUUCUGAUUACUUUCUAAAGAGACAUACUUUGUCCUUUCAGAAAGGCAGGACAUUCCCAUUUGGAGCUCCAGAAGUCUAAGAGUUGUGUUCACAGGAUAAAAAUGCUGUAUUAUUACAGUCAGGUACUGGUAAAUAUGCUAAACAAAUAAAAGACUUCAGUAAGGCUUCCCGGCAUGGCCAGCUUCUGGGCAGGAAACCAAGACUUCUUAAAACCAGAAAUCACUUCAAAAAGGCUGGUAACCAAAAAUUCAGUCCAAGGUUAUGAUUAGACUUACGCGCUUCAUAUCGAUGAAAGUAGAGCAGCUAGAAAGAGAUCUCGCAGCCUUGAUUUAAAAUUUUUCCAAUUCUGGAAAUUUGCUGUGUUCCUGAUUAAAUGUACCAUAUGGUAUCAUGAUUUGCAGAGAAAUGAGUCCUGAUAGAGUAAUAUUCCCGACUGAAUCUGUUAUUUAUAUCCGCCAUCAGUUAUGGAAAGGAGAGUGAAUUAACGCACAGUUCUUUGGUACGUUACACAGGAGUUAAGAUUAGAUAAUUAUAAAGCUUCCUACUAUGAAAUCCUGGAAGCUAAUUUGUAAUUAAUGAAUUAAUUAAAGAGAAAAAAAAAGAUGUAUUUUAGAUGAUAAGUGUACCUAGUCACCUUCUCUCAUAAUUCUGGUCUUCAGUGCCUCCUUCUUUGCUGGCAGGGAAUAUACAUCAGGCAGACUUCAUAUAUUUGAGAAGUGGAGCAAGAGCCUGUUAGUUUAAGUACCACAGGCAUACCUAAUCACAGAAAACCAGCCUUUUAUAAAGAACGAAGCACAGACAUGUAGAGAGAGCGUCCCUAGGUUUGGGGCAACAGAAGACCAUAUUUUUUUUCUCUGCUAGAGAAGGAGUGUUUGGGGCUGCAGGUGCAAAAUGUACUGUUUGAACCAACUUUCCACCCAGCUCUCAUGACCAGUGCCACCAUCCAUGUGGAGGGAAACCCAUUGCUACAGAACUCAUGGACAAGGACAGCAGAUGAAAGCAGCUAGGAGCAAUCCAAGCUGAACUACUUUGGUUUGAAACCAAGGAAUUGCUAUUAGGGAACCAUCCUAGUAACUUCUUAGGCAAGAGAUCUGCUGUACUGUCAGUCCCAUGUAUUCAGAGAGUCCCUCCUCAUUUAUGGCGUCUUCAGAUGAAGAAAUGUUGGGUUCUUUAAUUAAUGUCUUCAUGUCUUUGAGCCUUUGAGCUUUGCAUUCUUGACCACUUCUUUGCAGCCAAGUAGCUGGAAAAUUCUUCCAUUUUCUCUAAAAUAAAAUGAAAUUCAAAUACAUUCACAGGAGUCUAGCAACUGGGUCUUCAAGAAAACCAUCAAAAUUCAUGAGUCAUCCUAAAACCACAAGGGAAGCUAAGAAUGCUGCUCAAGGCCACAUGUCUCACAAAGAAAGAGCAUUGCUUUUUAACUGGAAGCACUAAGCCUGGUUGUUAUUUGAAAAUUAAUAGGAGAGCUUCUCUGUUACGGUGGUGUUUUCUUAUGUCUCAAUAUCAUCCAGCACAGCAGCACGGAAUCAGUCUACCAAAAAAACCUGAAGGUGAGAAUGACCAAAAUUAAAUGUGAAAUGAACGGGACUGUUUUCAUUGUCCAAGCUGAUUGAAAUGCAGACCAGUCUUUUUAGUUAUUUAAAAACACUUGUGAAAAACGGAGUUUUAGUUUGAGACAAAAAGUGAUUUAACUUUAAAUGAAAACCUACACAUUGGAAAGAUGGUCAUCAAAUAUAGACUCAACAUAUAGAAUCAAGAUCAAAUGCUUACUCAUGGGCAACUGCUGAAAAAACCUUGAACUCUAUAAAUUAAAAACAGAUGCUUUAAAUUAAAACACAUAAAUUACCGAUGCUGAUAUUACUAUAAAUUUCAAUGAUGAAAAUACAUCACUCAAGACUUUAAAGGAGAUUCUAAAGGUUACGUAUAGGAGUAUUUUGCAUUAUUAAACAAAGUGUCACCUGAAGAAGUUCCCUGGAAGAAUGUAGGAGGUAAUGUAUCUCAGGUUAUUGUGACAUGAUUCAACUACUAUUGCUGGUUUUAUUCUGAGUUGAUGUUGUGUACCUUGGGCAUUUCUUUGUUUAGUUUCUGGUGUGUAUUCAGAGUCCAAACUUAGAGCCCUGUGUAGCUCAUUUAAUUUCCAGCUGGACAUAUACUUUCUCCCUCUCCCCUAUACAGAGAACACAGCUGGAACCAGUAACAUCUCUGCAAAUGAACUGAACUUUUAAGUUCAACCAUUGUAUCAUGCUUCAGGCUGCUUAGUGUCUUUCUAACCCUAGUGUAAUUUGGUAUUAUUUCUACUAAAUAAUGGUCAAAUCUUGUAUAUAUGUAUGGAAAGCUUCCAUGUCCUCAGGAUAGCGCACUAGUUAAAAAUAUCAUUUAACUGGAGUAAACAGUAAAAACAAAAGCCAUAUUUAUAGAUCAUUAUUUUAGAAGGGUGACGUUUACCUCCAGCUGGUGUAUUAGAAUUUUGCGUUAAGCAGUUUUGGUUUUGAACAGUUUGAAACAGCCCAACAGUGUUGAAAACCAUAUAUCAGUAUAAUAAACAGAUGUUAUAAAUGUAUAAAAUAUGUGUAUACAUGUAUAGCUGAACUAUGCGAAUGCACAAAUAUAUAUAUAUUCUCACACAUACAUGCAUGUGAAUAUAGACGUUUUCUUAACUACACACAUAUGAUGUACAUUUUAUUAAGAGAAUCCAAAUUUUCAUAUAUUUAUUCUAGCUGUUUAUAUGAAAGCUUCUUUGGUUUCUUUUAAAACCAUUUUCAGACUUUUCUAUUAUGACCACCCAAUAUU